rnacentral:rRNA from 1 species
UACGUAGGGUGCAAGCGUUGUCCGGAAUUAUUGGGCGUAAAGAGCUCGUAGGCGGUCUGUUGCGUCGGCUGUGAAAACCCGGGGCUCAACUCCGGGCCUGCAGCCUAUACGGGCAGACUAGAGUUCGGCAGGGGAAACUGGAAUUCCUGGUGUAGCGGUGAAAUGCGCAGAUAUCAGGAGGAACACCGGUGGCGAAGGCGGGUCUCUGGGCCGAUACUGACGCUGAGGAGCGAAAGCGUGGGGAGCGAACAGG